GGCUGCUCUGAAGAUGGUGAGUAUCUCAACUGUUCCAGUGAGUUACACGUCAAACUUCUUCUUCCACUCUUUCUCCCCAUCUCACUACUGCACUCGACUGGUCUUAA
ensembl:Y_RNA Y_RNA Y RNA